AUGGCGAUCGUCCCGCACGGCGCAGGGGGUAGCACGGUGUCGAUGCCGAUGCCGAUGCUCACACCGGACAACUACACGGUGUGGGCGAUCAAGGCCGAAGCCAUCCUCGACGCCCAGAACCUCUGGGAAGCGGUGUCGCCGGCGAGCGGCGCGGCGGUCAACGCGGGAAAAAACAAGACGGCGAGGGCGGUGCUGUUCGGUGCGCUCUCUGAAGACUUGUUGAUGCAGGUAUCAACGAAGAAGACGGCAGCUGAGGUGUGGCCAGCUUCAAGACGAGGUUCGUCGGCGCCGAUCGGGUCCAGGCGGCGCGGCUCUCCACUCUCCGCAGCGAGUUCGACAAGCUGCGCAUGGAGGAGGGGGAGGCGUUGGACGCGUACGCCGGCAAGAUCGGCGGCAUGGCAGCAAGGUAUGCUGGCCUCGGCUCGACGCUCGGCGACGCCGCCAUGGUGA
rnacentral:rRNA from 1 species